AUGGAGAUGGAGAUGGAGCUGAUAAACGAUAUCAUGUCCCUGGAGAGGGAACGCCAAGACUUGCUGGAGUCGCUUACUCCCAGGAUUUCUCGCUGGGAGGACACAACCUCUACUACAACAACAAUGUCGAGGGUCGCUGGAAUCAACGCCGAGAACCCAUCGCCCGUUCAGAAGAAGAUGGACUCACUGCAGGUUAGAGACGACGACAAAGGACUUGAAAAAUACUUCGAUUUCACCCUCCAAGACACGGAGGACUUGGGCCACCGGAUGCUAUCCAUGUCACACUUUCUCUCCAACUCCCAUGCCUCCGUCUCCUCGUACAAUGCAGAAGAGCUGGUUAGCACAGCGUCCAGAUUAGUUAAAAUAUCAAAGGAUCUCUUACACAAGCCAGCCGAGGAGGUGGUCGAGAAGGAUGAUGAUGAGAAGGAGAUGAUGCUAUCCAACGAAUUCUUGCGUCUCUCCCACAAUGUCAGGGAGAGACCCUACCUUUACAAGAAUGAGUUGGCGAUCAUGUUCACGGAGGAGGACGAGGAGGAGUAUGAGAGGGAGAAGGAGGCGGAGAGGGAGGCAGCGAGAGAGAGGGAGGAGAAGAGGAGGCAGUGGAAGCAGAAGAAGAAGCAGCCGAUGGUGGUGGCGCAAGCCCCUGACCAGCAGGAAACAAAAUCGCCAAUGGAGCGUCUCAAAGAGGGUAUGGAUACUGAGCUGCGACUUUUCGCCGGCCACCGUGGAUACUGGGAAGAUACAAACACCAGCAAGACCGGACAGUGCGGCCGGUUCCAAGAUAAAACCACUUUGAGUCCUAUGCAGUUUACACACUACACACCCGGUAUCACCCUGCCCCCUGCUGCUGUCACUGGGACAACCGUGCAGAUCUACUCCUUCAAAAUUACUCGACUGCACAAUGACCUCAAGUGGCCACUCUAUGUCUACGGCGAGGUCGCUGCCCGGGACACCGUGGACCGCAACCGCAACCUUCUCUUCUGUCGGUCAAAGUUUUAUGGCCAAGUACUCACUGAAAAUGACUCUUCCCUAUGCUUGACUGGCCCUUCUCGUGCAAUUGUAGCCGAAGAUCCUGUUGACUUUGAAGUCAAACUAAGAAUUAUUGAGGGCGAUGAUGAGAUCAAAGACAGAGUAUUGAUGAGUCUUAGCAAGCGUUACGACGAUUCAGAACAACCUUUAUGCUUCCAUGGCUCCAUGUGUAGUGCAGAGUUGAGCCUUGGGCGACUUGCUGCAACGGUCCAGGCAACUAUCGUGGGGGUUCAUAUUGGUAAAGGGGGGUGGCCUUUUGAAUGCGGCGGCCGAGUUACUUGCACCUCGUAUUCUGCAGAGCUUGAUGAUCACUCAUGUGAUGAAGUUGUUUUGCUUGACUCCGCUGAAAAAAUUCCUGAAGAUGGUUUAGAUGGGUAUAUUUCUCUUUCAAGGAGCGUUGUGUCAGUACAAUUGCAAGGACGGUUGAAAGUUAGCAUACAAGGCAUACGAGCAUACGGGGAAUCUGAUCCUCCAGUCGAUGUUGACUUCCAUCCCCAGGAUUGCAACGUAAGUAUGGGUAGUUGUUUCGUCUGUGGCACUAAGGUGGACAUCACGGUUGCUUGGUCCCGGAUUGUCCGGGACAAGAUGGAUUUACUAAUUAAGGGUUAUUCUACCCAGACGUAG
rnacentral:rRNA from 1 species